UGGGGAAUAUUGGGCAAUGGACGCAAGUCUGACCCAGCAACGCCGCGUGAAGGAAGAAGGCUUUCGGGUUGUAAACUUCUUUUGUCAGGGAAGAGUAGAAGACGGUACCUGACGAAUAAGCCACGGCUAACUACGUGCCAGCAGCCGCGGUAAUACGUAGGUGGCAAGCGUUGUCCGGAUUUACUGGGUGUAAAGGGCGUGCAGCCGGAGAGAUAAGUCAGAUGUGAAAUCCGCGGGCUCAACCCGCGAACUGCAUUUGAAACUGUAGAUCUUGAGUGUCGGAGGGGCAAUCGGAAUUCCUAGUGUAGCGGUGAAAUGCGUAGAUAUUAGGAGGAACACCAGUGGCGAAGGCGGAUUGCUGGACGAUAACUGACGGUGAGGCGCGAAAGUGUGGGGAGCAAACAGGAUUAGAUACCCUGGUAGU
rnacentral:rRNA from 1 species